rnacentral:hammerhead_ribozyme from 1 species
AUCCAGUUGACGAGUCCUAUACAAGACGAAACGCGCCUUGUCCUGUAU